CAGGUGUGUUUAAGGCCCCCCAGGUGUGUUUACCUGCCCCAGGUGUGUUUAAGGCCCCCAGGUGUGUUUACCUGCCCAGGUGUGUUUAAGGCCCCCAGGUGUGUUUACCUGCCCCAGAUGUGUGUUAAGGCCCCCCAGGUGUGUUCACCUGCCCCAGGUGUGUUCCCAGGACUCACCCAGGUGUGUUUACCUGCCCCAGGUGUAUUUAAGGUCUCUCAGGUGUGUUAAGGCCCCCCAGGUGUGUUUACCUGCCCCAGGUGUGUUCC